rnacentral:misc_RNA from 1 species
GUUUUUUUAUUCUUUCAGGAGAAGGGUGAAUCAUUAUUUAGACUUUUGCACUCAGAACUUAUUAAUUUGGGUGGGAGUGAUUUUGGAAGUUAACAGUUUGGUGUCUUUUGCAAGAGUAUUUGUUGGAAAUUGAAAGCAUAUUUAGUUGCUUUAUUUGUUGUGGAAAAUGUCUUGCCUGCAGACUCUGCUAUUUGGUUAUAACAUUGAAAAUGAGCUUGAAAUUAUCUUGGUGUUUAGUGGAUGUCAAGGAAAACUUAUUUUUCUUCAAUGAAAAAUACCAUGAGGA